rnacentral:lncRNA from 1 species
AUUGAUCAUUCAAUUGAUUUUUAUUACUUGGUAUCGAGCGGCGGGGCUGCCUGCUGCUGUGUAAUCUGUGGGGUUUUUUUUUUAUUAUUUUCUGGCUAUUAUACUAGACUUAUGAAACAACACUGAUACAGGGCGUUGUUUGAGUGGCACAUCACCUGGUGUAGCGUACCGCGUCACCUCAACUCUCCAAAAUUCCCAUCAGUGCUAUUUUCUCCUCUAGAGAAAGUGCCUCUUUUUUUGUAGACCUUUCUGCUGGAGCUGUAUACCCAGCGGUGGUGUCUCAGAGGCUGAAAUGAGGCAGCUUCUAAGCUUCUGCUCUGCUGAUGUCGACUUGCACGAGCUCAUGGGCUUGGUGAGCUUCCAGCUCGUAGUCGCUCGUCGCCUUUUUUGGCUCUCCUCCUGGGAUUUGCUGCAUCUUGAUCCAGGUAUCGACACCCGCCAGGAGCAGCGAUCGAUCACGGUAUCAAACCACUCAUCUUUGCAAAAAGAAAAUAAGCUGAUAAAUGGUGUUUGCUCUACUAACUGCCAUUUUCUGCCAAGCUCCUGGGGGACAGGCGAAAGGGAAGAAGAGGUCCUGCUAUUUCUCUGCUGCUUGCAAUGGAAAGAUAAGAACAGGUGCCCACAAACCUGCCAGUUGAGGAAUUAAGCGUUCAAGAUGAAUUUUGAUGUUAAUGAGGCACGCAGAGCGUGCGACGGGCAGCCCCAGAGGAUUCAUCGGGGGCUUGUGCCAGAUACUUGUUGAAAUAAUUGGAAAGACUUCCACUGACUUCAGGAAGCUCCGGUUCCCUUCCUAAUUGCACCCUCCCAUCUUUCUCAGGGACUUGAACCCAGGAAGCUGGAUCUGCUGUGCUGAUGCACCCACAGCUCCCUAAUCUUCUUUCUGUGCCAGAGCUCUGGAAAACCAGGCUGUGUCCCAGCUGGGCUUCGUUCUUUCUGUGCCAGAGCUCUGGAAAACCAGUUUGUAUCUGUGCUUCAGUCUUCUGGGUAUGUCAGUUACACGCAUCAGGGCCUCAGUUUCCCCAUCUGCAAAGAUAAAGGUAAUGAUAGCUGCUUCUUUUAAAAUAAUUCCUGAGGACUUCCCUUUUGUUGCACAGAGGAGCUGAUUGCUUCCAUUGUUAGUUUGGGUGACUGGACAGCAAGAAAUGGAGGUGAACAAAAGCAAAAUGGAUAUAUUUCAUCAUCAUCAGGGCAGCUACAUCGAUGAUCCUCUGAGAACUUGUAUGUUGUGGCAGACAAAGGUGAGGCCACUGUUGGGCCAGCACCAGUUACCUUCGCUAAAUUGUCUCUUGGUUGUAAACAGCCUAUAUUUAGGAUAGGAUCUUUGAAAGCUGUCAAGAUUGACUGACUGUGAUCCUGUUGAAAUCAAGUGCCAAAACUCCCUGCAUUAGGAAGGAAUGUAGACUGCUGCAGACCCUGUUGAAAUCAAGUGCCAAAACUCCCUGCGUUAGGAAGGAAUGUAGACUGUAUGGUUGGACUCGGUGAUCUCAAAGGUCCCUUCCAACCAGGAAGAUUCUGUGAUUCUGUCAAUGUAAGACUCUCUUUGUGGUAAAGAGCACUUCUGUGAUUCUGUCAAUGUAAGACUCUCUUCAGACCUUUGUGGUGAAGAGCAUCCUGAAUGCACAAUCACUCUUCCCCGUUAAGGAUGU